rnacentral:tmRNA from 1 species
GGGGGCGACUGGUUUCGACAGGGUGGUCCUGAGGUGGGCAGCAGGCCGUGGUCUCCUCGCCACGUUAAACAGGGGUACCGUCAAAUUGAAUUGACGACAACUCUUUCCAGGGCUCUUACGCCCUCGCCGCUUAAUUAAUUAGCGGCCGUCGAAGCGGGGUUUCUCCCGUCCCCGCGGAGACGUCAUCUUAGGGAGACGCUCGCGCGGACGUCGUUGGUAUGCCGCGCGCUAAGACCGAACCAACUGGGGCGCCGAACGCGGGUCACCGAGUGUGACGCGCCCGAGACCUAAUCGGCGACUGAGCCUGGAGACACCUGCCAGGGGAUUGCUUUGGACCGGAGUUCGAUUCUCCGCGCCUCCACCA